rnacentral:rRNA from 1 species
UACGAAGGGGGCUAGCGUUGCUCGGAAUCACUGGGCGUAAAGCGCACGUAGGCGGAUUGCUAAGUCAGGGGUGAAAUCCUGGAGCUCAACUCCAGAACUGCCUUUGAUACUGGCAACCUUGAGUCCGGGAGAGGUGAGUGGAACUGCGGGUGUAGAGGUGAAAUUCGUAGAUAUUCGCAAGAACACCAGUGGCGAAGGCGGCUCACUGGCCCGGUACUGACGCUGAGGUGCGAAAGCGUGGGGAGCAAACAGG